rnacentral:lncRNA from 1 species
CUUAGAGACCAGCAUGCUGAUGAUGUCAAAGAAGACUUUGAAGAGAGAACAGAAAGUGAAAUGAGAACAUCACAUGAAGCCAGAGGUGCCCGGGAAGAACCCACCGUCCAGCAGGCACAGCGUCGGUCAGCUGUCUUUCUGUCCUUUAAGUCCCCAAUUCCAUGUCUGCCCUUGCGCUGGGAGCAGCAAAGCAAACUUCUUCCAACUGUCGCAGGAAUCCCUGCCAGUAAAGUUUCCAAAUGGAGCACAGACGAGGUGUCAGAAUUUAUACAGAGCUUACCUGGGUGUGAAGAACAUGGAA